rnacentral:rRNA from 1 species
GUGGGGAAUCUUGCGCAAUGGGCGAAAGCCUGACGCAGCCAUGCCGCGUGGAUGAUGAAGGUCUUAGGAUUGUAAAAUCCUUUCACCGGUGAAGAUAAUGACUGUAGCCGGAGAAGAAGCCCCGGCUAACUUCGUGCCAGCAGCCGCGGUAAUACGAAGGGGGCUAGCGUUGCUCGGAUUUACUGGGCGUAAAGGGCGCGUAGGCGGACAGUUAAGUCAGGGGUGAAAUCCCGGGGCUCAACCUCGGAACUGCCUUUGAUACUGGGUGUCUUGAGUAUGUGAGCGGUGUGUGGAACUCCGGGUGUAGGGGUGAAAUUCGUAGAUAUUCGGAAGAACACCAGUGGCGAAGGCGACACACUGGCUCAUUACUGACGCUAAGGCGCGAAAGCGUGGGGAGCAAACAGGAUUAGAAACCCGGGUAGUCC